CACAUCAUGUUGAAACACUGGUUCCUGUAUGUUCACCAAAGUUAGGCAACAUCAAACCUGGUUAGUACUUAGGUGGGUGACCACUUGGGAAUACCAGGUGUUGUA